AUCGAACGCUGGCGGCAGGCCUAACACAUGCAAGUCGAGCGGAGCGGCGGACGGGUGAGUAAUGCCUAGGAAUUUGCCUGGUAGUGGGGGACACCGUCCGGACACGGGCGCUAAUACCGCAUACUAUCAGAUGAGCCUAGGGCGGAUUAGCUAGUUGGUGGGGUAAAGGCCUACCAAGGCGACGAUCCGUCACUGGUCUGAGAGGAUGAUCAGUCACCCUGGAACUGAGACACGGUCCAGACUCCUACGGGAGGCAGCAGUGGGGAAUAGUGGACAAUGGACGAAAGCCUGAUCCAGCCAUGCCGCGUGAGUGAAGAAGGUCGUCGGAUUGUAAAGCACUGUAGGUUGGGAGGCGGUACCAAAAGAAUAAGCACCGGCUAACUUCGUGCCAGCAGCCGCGGUAAUUC
rnacentral:rRNA from 1 species